rnacentral:rRNA from 1 species
UGGGGAAUAUUGGGCAAUGGGCGGAAGCCUGACCCAGCAACGCCGCGUGAAGGAAGAAGGCUUUCGGGUUGUAAACUUCUUUUAAGAGGGACGAAGGAAGUGACGGUACCUCUUGAAUAAGCCACGGCUAACUACGUGCC